AUGGAGGAAGGUGGAGAUAUGGAAGCAGCUUCGCCUGCGGUGGCGGCGGCAGGCGCUGCUUCUCUGGACCUGUCUCUAACACUGGCCCCUGUGUCACCACCACCACCAGCACCACCUUCCUCCUCUUGUUGGGCUGCAGCAGAUGUUGUUCUUCCUUCUUCUACAGGCGCAGGUGGCAAUUACCAUGGCCAUGGUGGUGGGAAGCUCUUCUCGUGCCUCUUCUGCAAUAAGACCUUCCUCAAGUCGCAGGCGUUGGGGGGCCACCAGAACGCGCACAAGAAGGAGAGGGCCGCCGGCAGCUGGAACGCCCACCUCUACCUUCCCGCAGCGGGGGCAGCCAACCAGCCGGCCGCCGCGACGUCCAUGCUGCCAGCGACCUGGCCGCCCGCACGUACGCCUACUAGCAGGCUUGUCGACGACCACGAGCAGCAGCAGCAGCAGCAGCUUGAUCUUAGCCUCAGGCUCUAG
rnacentral:rRNA from 1 species